GCGGGCGGGGGAGGGGGUUCGGGCACAGACCCCCCCGCAUGAGGGUCGGGACGGCGGCGCUGCCGUUCUCCGCCAACGGGCGCCCCCUGGCGGCCGCGCUGCGCCCCGCGCCCCCCCCCGGCACCAAACGGC